GAUGAACGCUGACAGAAUGCUUAACACAUGCAAGUCUUUGGCGAAGCUGUGCUUGCACAGCCUAGCCAAGGCGGACGGGUGAGUAACGCGUAAGGAACUUGCCCUGCAGUCAGGGAUAACAGACGGAAACGACUGAUAAGACCUGGUAAAGUCAGGCGGACUCAUGUCCAGCCUGAUGAAAAGAGAUGCUGCAGGAGAGCCUUGCGUCCUAUUAGCUUGUUGGUGGGGUAACGGCCUACCAAGGCGAUGAUAGGUAGCCGGCCUGAGAGGGUGGACGGCCACAAGGGGACUGAGAUACGGCCCUUACUCCUACGGGAGGCAGCAGUGGGGAAUAUUGGACAAUGGGGGCAACCCUGAUCCAGCAAUUCUGUGUGCACGAUGAAGGUUUUCGGAUUGUAAAGUGCUUUCAGCAGGGAAGAAAAAAAUGACGGUACCUGCAGAAGAAGCGACGGCUAAAUACGUG
rnacentral:rRNA from 1 species